rnacentral:rRNA from 1 species
UACAGAGGGGGCAAGCGUUGUUCGGAAUUACUGGGCGUAAAGGGCGCGUAGGCGGCCUGUUAAGUCGAACGUGAAAUCCCUGGGCUCAACCCAGGAACUGCGUCCGAUACUGGCAGGCUUGAAUCCGGGAGAGGGAUGUGGAAUUCCAGGUGUAGCGGUGAAAUGCGUAGAUAUCUGGAGGAACACCGGUGGCGAAGGCGGGUUGCUGGGCCGACACUGACGCUGAGGCGCGAAAGCCAGGGGAGCGAACGGG